UUGUUAUGAUGUACAUGAAUUUCUUCAACUGAAUGACAAUGUUGAAAAUAUUGCUGAACAAU
rnacentral:snoRNA from 1 species